CGGACGGGUGAGUAAUGUCUGGGAAACUGCCUGAUGGAGGGGGGUAACUACUGGAAACGGUAGCUAAUACCGCAUAACGUCGCAAGACCAAAGUGGGGGACCUUCGGGCCUCUUGCCAUCGGAUGUGCCCAGAUGGGAUUAGCUAGUAGGUGGGGUAACGGCUCACCUAGGCGACGAUCCCUAGCUGGUCUGAGAGGAUGACCAGCCACACUGGAACUGAGACACGGUCCAG
rnacentral:rRNA from 1 species